GCUCCUGCAGGUUAGCGGCGGACGGGUGAGUAACACGUGGGCAACCUACCUGUAAGACUGGGAUAACUUCGGGAAACCGGAGCUAAUACCGGAUGACAUAAAGGAACUCCUGUUCCUUUAUUGAAAGAUGGCUUCGGCUAUCACUUACAGAUGGGCCCGCGGCGCAUUAGCUAGUUGGUGAGGUAACGGCUCACCAAGGCGACGAUGCGUAGCCGACCUGAGAGGGUGAUCGGCCACACUGGGACUGAGACACGGCCCAGACUCCUACGGGAGGCAGCAGUAGGGAAUCUUCCGCAAUGGACGAAAGUCUGACGGAGCAACGCCGCGUGAACGAUGAAGGCCUUCGGGUCGUAAAGUUCUGUUGUUAGGGAAGAACAAGUGCUAGUUGAAUAAGCUGGCACCUUGACGGUACCUAACCAGAAAGCCACGGCUAACUACGUGCCAGCAGCCGCGGUAAUACGUAGGUGGCAAGCGUUGUCCGGAAUUAUUGGGCGUAAAGCGCGCGCAGGCGGUUUCUUAAGUCUGAUGUGAAAGCCCCCGGCUCAACCGGGGAGGGUCAUUGGAAACUGGGAAACUUGAGUGCAGAAGAGGAAAGUGGAAUUCCAAGUGUAGCGGUGAAAUGCGUAGAGAUUUGGAGGAACACCAGUGGCGAAGGCGACUU
rnacentral:rRNA from 2 species